ACAUUAUUUCAAGUCCUACAUAAAGGGGAUUGGGACCCCAAAAUAGCCGGUGAUCCACGCGGAAUGCUGUGAAUUAUAUUACUACCACGAUUUAGCACUGGGUUCAUCUCUGAAAAUACAGCUCAAGACCUGCAUGAUUCGAGCUCCACAGCCUCCGCUGAAAAGCGUUGCCUAUCAAAGCAACACACAGAAAAAGCACCAAACAUGCCUGAUAAUAUAAAACCAAGCCAUACCCCCACAGGGUGAGACAAUCCAGUCAGCAAGAAAAAAAAAAAUCAUUGUUGGAAUUAUUUCUCCAUAAUGGAAAGCAAUUCUCUGUGAGUUGAGUUACAGGUCAUGACAUAAAACCAAAGAAAAAAAGAAAGAGCUCUAAGCAUUGACAGAUGUUCUGUGCUCGCUCCUGUCUCCUGAACCCCUCCGAGUCUCCAUCAGAAGGCAGCCUGACCUGCAGCCCCUUUCAAGCAACUUAGAAUCUGGAGAUCUCUCAUACAAAAGGUUUUACCCCUAAUUCCACUGAAGAGCCCCUCGAACCAAGCAAAAAUUUUCUCACAGGAGAAUUUAAGAGAGUCUAUGGAUUCAGGCUCGAUUUCAUAAUUUCCUCUCUGUACAAAAACCAGGGUAUUUAUUUCUCUUACGUAAUUUCCAGGGAAUCAGUUCCACGACCUGACUUGUAUUCUGUUGGUCUACUGAGGGGACCUUACCGUCAGUCAGUCACCCUUGGUGAGAACAUACCCAAGGGCUGAUAUAUGACUGCAAAGGAACUUAACAAUUCCUGGAAGGAAAAGGGUUAAGAGCCAGUAAAAACAGCAUAAAUUUACACAUGACCUAGUGUGAUUACACUUUUAUUCUCUUCCUUGCAAGAAACAACAACAAUGACAACCUCCAUAACUAAUGCUUCUGGUCUAAAAAACCUUCUCCCUAAAGGACAUGUUUUCACCCACUACCAAUGAUCUCAACAAAUUUCUGGAUAGAAAGGACCUGUAGACAGAGAGAUGUACUUGCCGGAUUUUUUCAUCAGCUGAAGAACAGGGGCAUCUGCUGCCACAGAGAGGAGAAGUUGCUCUUUUGCCUUUGGCCAUGGAUGUAUCAGGAUGGCCGUGUAUUCGCCUGGAGAGCCCAUAGAUGCCACUGACACAGCAGCUGCUCUGACAAUAGCCCAUCAAUGGCUCCUGGAAAAACCUAGUAGACUGGCAGCUUUCAUUGCAAAUAACCAGGAAAUAAGAAGAUAGUGCAUUUUAUAUUUUCAAGAGUGUUUCCUCUCCUGAAGCGUCCCCAGAGUUUCCAUUCCAGGCCUGAGAUGAGUGAUUACCCAGCACAGAUUGUCUUAUUUAUUUGGAAGACUCUCCAGCUCAGUCCAGCUGCUUUUUCUUGGGACAGCAGACAGACCCUGGACAUGGUAUCCUUUUACGUUACGGUAUUUACAAAGUAGAAUAAAUCAAUGAGACCCAACAGGAAAAGGCCAUAGUUUAUUUUAUUCAUUUUAUUUUUGUUUUUUCUACCAUCCCUGCUAGGUGCUCAGCAACUCAAUCUAUCGAAUUUCAAAACAUGUAGAGGUGUCGACAUAAGUCUCAAAACUCUGCACAGAGAAUCCCAAACCACAAGCUUGGACAUUUCCAAGGAAAGAAGCACAGGGUGGCAGGAUGAGGCAAGAGGCUGCUUACUCCAAGCCAAAUCUCAUGACCCAACCGCAUAGUCAUAAGAGGAGUGCGUUCAGUUGCUUUAGGAAACCAAGAGCAGUGAAAGAAAACACUUGGGAAUUUACUGGUAGAUAAGGUUUUUCUGAUUGAAGAAAAGGUACAAAGUAAUGCAGACCAAUGAUGGUUUCUGGGCAGCAUUAUGAUUAUGUCUUUUUAGGAAAAUGCCCCUUCUAGGGGACCUCACUUGCUGUCUGCCCACAGAUUUAUCUGGACUGAAUCUCAGUUACUAGUUUUUGCUUUCAAAGACCUCCUAUCUAGGGGAACAUUUGAAAAGAAUUUACCAAGUGCUUCCCUGCUGCAUAAUCUGUGUGUUCUGUGUUAACACUAACUUGCAUUUUGCAUGUGGAGCCAGCAGCUCUCCUCUCGGGAGCCUGGGUCAUACUGCUCCUUUAAAAAUGAAAGUGAGAGAGAGAGAGGGAGGCCACGCUGAUUUUAGAAUUGAGUCAGGGCUUUGUGAUUUAUAGAGUACCCAGGGUGAAUAGGCGUGGUUUCUAGAUAUCCACAGGCAAGUCUUACCUUAAAAGACACAGGACUUUGCACACGCCUUACAGAACAUUCAGAACAGAAGAAUCAAGGCUUGUAACCGAUGAGACUAAUAGAUAGAAUAUAUUAAACUGAGUAGAAUCUGGUGCCUAAAAAUUUACAUAAAAGUGGCCCGGAGAAUCCACUCAGCACAUGUCCUGGCCAACUCAGAAAUGAUGAAAUACAAAUAUUUAAAGAAAAAUCUGGAUUCCUUUGUGUGUAUUAAAAAUCCUCUCAAAUAUUCCAAAUGGAUGCAGUUUGGUCUCGGUGAGGGAUAGAGGGUCUGAGACAAUAUUAGCAAUUUUAUUUUUUGCCCGAGUUGUACAGUGCCUGCUUUAUCCAGGUUUCUGUGGAUUUUAGACCAUUCACCCUAGUGAAAGUCCCAAUAAAACACAGAAUGUAAUUAUGUUGGGGGGAAGAAAGAAGCAAAAGAGCAGUGGGCCUGGUUAAUCCUUUUAUCAAGGUCACUCCACCACCAGCAUCUCAGAGGGAUUUCCAGGCCAAAAGCAAUCGUUUGUGUGUGUGUCUUAGGAUAGUGGCAUGUCCUCAACUCCUUUGAAAGUAUGAGGUCAGGAGUUCGAGACCAGCCUGGCCAACAUGGUGAAACCCUGUCUCUACUAAAAAUACAAAACUUAGCUGGGUGUGGUGCAGGCCUGUAAUCCCAGCUACUGGGGAGGCUGAGGCAGGACAAUGGCUUGAACCUAGGAGGCAGAGGUUGCAGUGAGCUGAGAUCAUGACACUGCACUCUAGCCUGGGCAACAGAGCAAGACUGUCUCAAAAAAAAAAAAAAAAAAAAAGAAAGAAAAAAGCAAGAAAGAAAGCUAGCUGUUUGCACAGUGAUCAACUCCAUCAACUGUCAUGGACAAGUACAAGUUGGACCUAAGCUGUGCAUCGUUUUUUUUUUUUUUUUUACCAGCCUUGUUUCCUGGAUAAUUUCCCUUAGAUAUAUUGCUGUGUCAAUUAGAAAUCAUAUUUAUUUUCACUUAUGAAAAAGACGUCUGGAGAUAUGCAAUCUAGGGCUGCAGUCUUUCUUACCUUUCUAUUUUCCCUUGUAGCGGGUGUCCUUGAUUUGCAUUCUUACAAGGUGGCUUCAAGAGCAUAAGCUACCAAGUUAGAUGUCCAGAUGGAGAGAAAGGUGAGCAGAGAGAGGAACAGGGCAUGAGCCAGCCAAGUCAGCUUAAAAGCUUUCAUAAAAGCCGCACCCAUAGAUUCUUGCUAACAUCUUAUGUGCCAGAACUAUGCCAGUUAACCCUACCCUCCAGCAACCUGCAUCGGGACUGGAAAUACAGCUGUAUUUUUUUUUUUUUUUAAACCUGAACACAUUGUUUUCCAAUUAGGAAUUUGUUAGGGAAAAGAAGAUGAUGGGAGAGUCGAUGAAAUGGAAAUUUUAAAAAUCCACCUUACUAUGUUAUUGUGGGGAUUAAAUCCAUGCAUCAAUCACUUGAUAAUAUUCACUAAUCUGGUGGCACAUGAAAAUAAUAUUUUCUUCUCUCUCCUUAGUCUUACUCACUUUCCAGGGCCCCCUUCAGAAACUAUAGCACAUGGUGGAGCAAUACCUUGAUGCCACAAUUCAUUUUAAAUCUAUUUAACUUCAUUGAAUAAUUUCAUUUUGGGGGAAAAAGUGGAUGGCAUAAGAAAAAAUAUUCACCCAACUUCUCGUUAUUGGCAGGGCAUUUGAAACUAGAAUUGCCAUUUUACAUAGAACCUGCUUGUGAUACUUACAGAAGCAACUAAUUUUUACUUCAGAUAUACCUGUUGUACAAGCUGUUAAAAAACCCAUACAAAUGCUUUACAAUGCUGCCUAUGUUCUCUUUCUAUGAAGCAGCAUUCUUAUUUUUGGUGCGCUGUACCUAAUGCUGACCACAUCAGCAAAGAGAACUUAUACCACUGAAAAUAUAGGUAUAUGCACACAGUUUUUGCAUUAUUUUAAGAUCUUUAUUAUUAAGUAACUCAUUGGGGUUGUCAAAGUAUGUUAUAAAAUUACACAGAUAAUUAGAGAUAUAUAUUACAUAGAAAUGCUGAUUUUACACUCUCUUCUGAGUACAAGCAUUUGAUUAUAGAGGCUCAUAGCACAACCAAAUGUAUUUCACGGGACACCGAUGCCCCUAUUCUGAUAUUGACAAGGCAAACAUCAGCGGUAGCAGAGUCAACAAAGCAAAGCAAGA